UUCUGGGAGGACUAGCAUCUCUGCUAGGGCUCCCCAUCUCCUUUUGGUUUCCCCUGGGACAUUUGACUCUCACCUGUAGCUCCAAGAAGCCAUAGUCUGCUCAGGGAACACAAUCCAGUCAAACUGUCUCAGCAGACAGGCUAGACCAGGUUGAGGGUAACCAAUGGACCUCCAAACUUAAGGUUUAUGAAUGCUUCUCACACAGACUGGCUUCUGGCAUUUAGCAGUAAAUACAGUGAGCUCCUCAACAUUCUCAAGAAGAGAGGAGGAGUAUAUGGGUAAACUUAAAAUGGAGGCAUUGUGCUGUGGAUGGAAAAUACACUGAAAUGGAAAUAA